CUUCCAGCAAGUGCAAGACACUUCCUUGGUAUUUGCAGUAAACCUAACAGGAUGAAUCACUGCCUAUAAAGUCCUAUGCCAUAACACACAAAAUGAAGGGAAUGGCACAGCAAUGUAAUAGCACUAAGGCUGCCUCCGAGAGCUUUUGUCUACCUUUAACUCAUUGUGCUGGGAAGCUUUCUGCUAAUGCAUCACACUGAGAAUAGAGUGAGGAAACAAGAGAAUUUAGGUCUACAGAAGAACACAGUGAUCUAAUUCCAUCCCCUCAUAUAACUCAGAAGGAAACUAAAGUGAAUAGAAGUGAAAGGAUGAGUUUAAGCUGACGCAGAGGAAGAGCACGCGGAACACGAUCAGGAAGGAGUGGAAGAAGUCAUUCAUGUGCCAGCGUGGGAGUGUACAGUCUUCGUUGAUCUUGCAGACACAUUCUUUGUAGCUCUUGCCAAAGAGCUGCAUGCCGACCACAGCAAAGAUGAAGACGAUGAUGGCCAACACCAAGCAUUUAGAAGAAAAACAAAACAGGCAUUACGUACCCUGAAUCUGUGCUGAAACCACAAAGGAGAGCAUCUUUGGAUCCCUCCAAGUAAUAAACAUAUUCUGUUCCGGAAGAAUUUGAACAACAUAACGUUAUAGUGCAAACUAGAAGAGUGAUACAGCAAGUAAGUCAAUAGAUACCGACAUACAUAUAUGUAUCUGUGUGAUCUAAAUCAAAGAAUAUCCAUUCAUUUAUUGUACUUUCAUAUAUGCCCCUCCAAUAUUCAUUGAUAACCUCUUAUGGGCCAGGCAGUGGAUAUGAUGAUAAACAUGAUAAACAAGGUAGCUAUCCAGAGAGCUUGGUGAAGGGCAUUUGGGAAGAGGAAGAGCAAGAGCAAAUGCUCUACAGCAGAGCUGAAGUUGGUGUAUGGGAGAACAAGAAAGACAGCAGCAUAGCAACGGAGUGAUGAGUGUGACGGCAGUGGUAUGCAAGGGCCAGAUCAUGUAGUGUUUUUCAUAUCACGAGAAGAACUUUGGAUAUUAAGUAUAAUUGAAAAUAAUGGAAGUGGACAGUAGAGACAUCAGACAUCAUGAGUAUUUUUAAAUGUUACAGUAGUUGCUUUGUGCAGUAAAUUACAGAAGCACAAGUUCAGAAACAAGAUCAACUAAGUGAACUCUAAUGGGCACUAGGUUUCUUUUGAGGGAGAAGAAAAUACUUUGAAUUAGAUAAUGAUGAUUAUUGUGCAACUCUGAAUAUGGUGAAGUAUUUUUAAAAUGGGACUCUUUUGGCACAUGGAUUAUUUUUUCAAUAAAUCUAUUUCAAAAAGACAAUUCAGUA